GACGAACCGUGCGAACGUUGUUCGGAAUCACUGGGCUUAAAGGGCGCGUAGGCGGGCGAUCAAGUCCGGGGUGAAAUCCUCCAGCUCAACUGGAGAACUGCCUUGGAUACUGGUCGUCUCGAGUGAGGUAGGGGCAUGCGGAACUGGUGGUGGAGCGGUGAAAUGCGUUGAUAUCAUCAGGAACUCCGGUGGCGAAGGCGGCAUGCUGGACCUCAACUGACGCUGAGGCGCGAAAGCUAGGGGAGCAAACGGG
rnacentral:rRNA from 1 species